CCGAGUUCCAGGUCACCGUCACCGGCUCAGGGAUGUAGCCCCAGACCAGGCAGCCGAAGGCCACUGUGGAGCCAGGCAUGUCCCCGCAUCUAGCAGUCGGAGGAUAGACCGAUGGGGCCUUGGUGGAGGCUGCAAGAAAGGAGCUGGUGACCAGGGUG